UUUCAGAAAAAUGGAUUAGAUUGAACUAAGCUAUUUAUGUAAUUUGACUUGCGACUGGAGUGACAUAACAUCGAAAAGAAUAUUGCCAACACACAUUUUAAUGAUAAUACAAGCAAUGCUACUCGUUCAUAAUGAACUGAAUAAAAAUCUUGAUAGAGUUGUGAAUAAGAAAGAGAGAGAGAGAGAGAGAGAGAGAAAGAAUUAACCAUAGUAAACUUUUACCAAAUUCAAUAAGUAUUUGCUACUCUGGAGUAACAUUGAAGAUAAUUUUAACAACACACAUUUUAAUGAUAACACUGUCGAAUAAUACUACUCGUUUGUAACGAACCAUGUAAAGAUUAUGAUGAAGUUGGUGAAUAAAAGAGAGAGAACUAUAGUAAAUUUGUAAACUGGGAGAAUGCAAUUAGGUAUUUAUUCAGUCAAGUGAACGUCAAAUUAAAGCCAUUACAAGGACAUUCACAAAAUUAAUGCACCCAAUGCUGUGACCAGUAUAAUAUUCGCACUAGAAGACAGGAUAUAUAUGAUCUGCUGAAAAAUACAAUGCAACAUGGGUGACAUGGGUACAAUUAAAAUAUUCAAAUUAUCAAAUAAAAUAUUUAAAUAUUUUUGUCUUUACAUGUUUAUUAUAUUGUCCAAUUACAUGUUUAUUGUUAUA